GGAGGGACAGCACCUCAUAGCUUACAGCCCAAUGACAUGAACAUUGAAUUAUCCCAAUUAAACGGUCAUCCCCCCUCUCCCUCAUGGGCCAACUCUUCGUCAUUCCUCUGUCUUCUUCUCGCUGGCGAAAGGCGUCAGGAUUAAUCCAAGUCACCGCUUCCCGUAUUUUAAGAUCGCCCGUGAGGAGCUCCAACCUCGGGGCCUGUGGACGCCGGAGUUUCCGUCGACCCGAUACGACGGCUUCGGACAUCGGAGCGUCAGCAGCGGCGACUGCGGAGGGUUCAACAGCCCCGACCACGGGUGAACAAACGAGGAAGAUGAUUGAACUUUAUUACCUUCCAUCACAGUGAGGAAUGUGGAUUCCACUGUGGUGGAUGUUUCUGUUACAUUUUUAUUUUAUUUGGCUGUGUGUCUUGUUGCUUUUUACUUAGUAUGGCUGUAUGGGAACUCAAAUAUCACUGUACCUUAAUUGGCACAUGUGACAGUAAAUUUGUACUUGAAACGCUUUCCUCUACAUCUGUAUCUAUCUAUUUCCAUAAUUAUAAAACUCUGAUCUUGGA